rnacentral:rRNA from 1 species
CGUACACUCCUACGGGAGGCAGCAGUGGGGAAUAUUGGACAAUGGGAGCAAGCCUGAUCCAGCCAUGCCGCGUGAGUGAUGAAGGCCCUAGGGUUGUAAAGCUCUUUCACCGGUGAAGAUAAUGACGGUAACCGGAGAAGAAGCCCCGGCUAACUUCGUGCCAGCAGCCGCGGUAAUACGAAGGGGGCUAGCGUUGUUCGGAUUUACUGGGCGUAAAGCGCACGUAGGCGGACUAUUAAGUCAGGGGUGAAAUCCCGGGGCUCAACCCCGGAACUGCCUUUGAUACUGGUAGUCUUGAGUUCGAGAGAGGUGAGUGGAAUUCCGAGUGUAGAGGUGAAAUUCGUAGAUAUUCGGAGGAACACCAGUGGCGAAGGCGGCUCACUGGCUCGAUACUGACGCUGAGGUGCGAAAGCGUGGGGAGCAAACAGGAUUAGAAACCCCGGUAGUCCCA